ensembl:snRNA Gm26255 predicted gene, 26255
UUGCUUUGGCUGCACAUAUACUAAAAUUAGAACGAUAUAAAGAAUAUUAUCAUGGCCCCUGCAUAAGAAUGACAUGCAAAUUAGUGAAGUGUUCUGUUAUGUA